rnacentral:rRNA from 1 species
AACGAACGCUGGCGGCAUGCCUAACACAUGCAAGUCGAACGAGACCUUCGGGUCUAGUGGCGCACGGGUGCGUAACGCGUGGAAACCUGCCCUUAGGUUCGGAAUAACUCCCCGAAAGGGGUGCUAAUACCGGAUAAUGUCUUCGGACCAAAGAUUUAUCGCCUUUGGAUGGGCCCGCGUUGGAUUAGCAAGUUGGUAGGGUAAAAGCCUACCAAGGCGACGAUCCAUAGCUGGUCUGAGAGGAUGAUCAGCCACACUGGGACUGAGACACGGCCCAGACUCCUACGGGAGGCAGCAGUGGGGAAUAUUGGACAAUGGGCGAAAGCCUGAUCCAGCAAUGCCGCGUGAGUGAUGAAGGCCUUAGGGUUGUAAAGCUCUUUUACCCGGGAUGAUAAUGACAGUACCGGGAGAAUAAGCUCCGGCUAACUCCGUG